rnacentral:sRNA from 1 species
GGGCUCCAAAACCAGCACGAGGUGCGC